GGCGUGCUAUACUGCAAGUCGAGCGGAAGAUGGGAGCUUGCUCCCUGAUGUUAGCGGCGGACGGGUCCCUUCACGUGGGUAACCUGCCUGUAAGACUGGGAUAACUCCGGGAAACCGGGGCUAAUACCGGAUGGUUGUCUGAACCGCAUGGUUCAGACAUAAAAGGUGGCUUCGGCUACCACUUACAGAUGGACCCGCGGCGCAUUAGCUAGUUGGUGAGGUAACGGCUCACCAAGGCGACGAUGCGUAGCCGACCUGAGAGGGUGAUCGGCCACACUGGGACUGAGACACGGCCCAGACUCCUACGGGAGGCAGCAGUAGGGAAUCUUCCGCAAUGGACGAAAGUCUGACGGAGCAACGCCGCGUGAGUGAUGAAGGUUUUCGGAUCGUAAAGCUCUGUUGUUAGGGAAGAACAAGUGCCGUUCAAAUAGGGCGGCACCUUGACGGUACCUAACCAGAAAGCCACGGCUAACUACGUGCCAGCAGCCUCGGUAAUACUUAGGUGGCCAGCGUUGUCCGGAAUUAUUGGGCGUAAAGGGCUCCCAUGCGGUUUCUUAAUUCUGAUGUGAAACUCCCCCGCCUCUGCCGGCGAUGGUCAUUGGAAACUGGCGAACUUGAGUGCCCAAGAGGAGACUUCAAUUCCACAUGCUCCUU
rnacentral:rRNA from 1 species